rnacentral:lncRNA from 10 species
CAGGUUGAGGACUGAGUGCCACUGGAAAUUUCCCGGACGAAAAGCUGCUUGGAGCCUCCAGGGACCGGCAUCCGUAGAGACGAGGUUUCACCAUGUUGACCAGGCUGGUCUCCAACUCCUGACCUCAAGUGAUCGUACUGCCUCAGCUUCCCAAAAUGCUGAGAUUACCAGCGUGAAGCACCGUGGCUGGCAUCAGCAUAUUAAUUGAAGCCUUGUAGAGCUUCACAAAGGUUCCAUUGAAGAUUUGAGGAAGAUGAAGAAGCUGCAACACCUUUCGGACCUUUGGGCUCACACCAUUGAUACUGCUGAUCCUGAUGACCAAUGCCAAUUUGUGUUCUGCAG